rnacentral:rRNA from 1 species
GAUGAACGCUAGCGGCAGGCUUAAUACAUGCAAGUCGAGGGGCAGCGGGGGUAGCAAUACCCGCCGGCGACCGGCAAACGGGUGCGGAACACGUACGCAACCUUCCUUUAACUGGAGAAUAGCCCCGAGAAAUCGGGAUUAAUACUCCGUAACAUAAUGAAGUGGCAUCACUUUAUUAUUAUAGGCUUCGGCCGGUUAAAGAUGGGCGUGCGCCUGAUUAGAUAGUUGGUGAGGUAACGGCUCACCAAGUCUGCGAUCAGUAACUGGUGUGAGAGCACGACCAGUCACACGGGCACUGAGACACGGGCCCGACUCCUACGGGAGGCAGCAGUAAGGAAUAUUGGUCAAUGGACGCAAGUCUGAACCAGCCAUGCCGCGUGGAGGAUUAAGGCCCUCUGGGUUGUAAACUCCUUUUAUCUGGGAAGAAAUGCCUAUUUUUACUAAAUGGUUUGACGGUACCAGAGGAAUAAGCACCGGCUAACU